rnacentral:lncRNA from 1 species
UUUUUGGCAUAUCUCAUUCUCUUGGUUCUUUCUGUAUCUAUUUAAUUUUAUACUGAUAAGGACCUUGACCUCAAAGUUCGAAUUUUCGAGAAAGGUUACACAUGAUUUUCAGACUUCUUUCUAGUAGCACUUGUGCAAGUAAAAUGCCAAAAUAUGAUGAUGUGGGUAAUUUUUAGUAAGAGAAAUAAUAAACACAUCAUUAAUUACAAAUAUCAGACCUCUUUCCUUUUGCCCCUCAAGUAGAAAGAACUGUUGUCAGAAUCUCAAAAAGAGAGUUUCAGAAUUCCAGACUUUGAGAGUUCCAAAAUUAGACGGGUAUGGAACUGCAAGUCAUCAAAGCGUCAGUCAAUCUCUGGUGUCUCUGAUAGAUAUUUUGAAGUGGGCCGACUAAGCUAAAAUGCCACUAAAGAUAACACACCAAAGUUAUUCUGAGACGUGAUAAGCUCCAGCCAACACCACACUGUUUCCUUCAUCCUUCAGUGUGUGACAACAGAUAGAGCUUAAAAUAAUUUUACAAGGACAAUAGCACAUGUCAAACGUUUGCUAACAAGUCCUUUAAAUUCCUCAUCUUCUGUGAUGCUUUUAGUCUUUACAUGUGAGAAAGUAAUGAAAAGGUCUCUACUAAAUAGAUAAUGCACAAAUCUUUCUGAAAUGUCUUGAGUUUUGAAUCCAAAAAGUGAGAAUAAAAUGUAUGUUAUAUAGAAAAGUAAUUCGUAUGCAAUUACAUAUUAGGACAAAAACUACAGAGAUGUCUUGGAGUUCCCAGCGUGGCUCAGUGGUUAAUGAAUCUGACUAAGAACCAUGAGGUUGCGGGUUGGAUCCCUGGCCUUGCUCAGUGGGUUAAGGAUCUGGCGUUGCCUUGAGCUGUGGUGUAUGUCGCAGACGCAGCUCGGAUCCUGUGCUGCUGUGGCUCUGACGUAGGCCGGCGGCUACAGCUCCGAUUCAACCCCUAGCCUGGGAACCUCCAUAUGCCGAGGAAGCGGCCCAAGAAAUGGCAAAAAGACAAAAAGACAAAAAAAAAAACCUACAGAGAUGUCUUAAAUCAAACCUUAUAAAUAAGCAAACUGGCAUUCCCGUCAUGGCACAGCAGAAACGAUCCGACUAGGAACCAUGAGCUUGCGAGUUUGACCCCUGGCCUCGCUCAGUGGGUGAAGGAUCCGGUGUUGCCGUGAGCUGUGGGGUAGGUCACAGACAUGGCUCGGAUCCUGAGUUGCUGUGGCUGUGGUGUAGGCUGGCAGCUACAGCUCUGAUUCGACCCCUAGCCUGGGGACCUCCAUAAGCUGUGGGUGCAGCCCUAAAAAGCCAAAACAAAAACAAAAAAACCCCAAAAAACAAAAUCAAAAUAAGCAAACUAAGAAAUGUCUUCAGAAGACAAUUCUAUUGAAUCAUUAUAUAAUUAUGUAAUAUUGCAUUAUUAUGUAAUUGAUAUGUGUAUAUUUGUGUGUAUGCCACAUAUGGUACCACUGACUUCAGCAAGGAAACAUGUAAGUAGAAGGUUUCCAUUCUGCAAACCAUUCUAUAGACACCUGGUACUGGUAUCAUUAUCAUUUUUCUGAAGAUUUAUGUUCCUGAAGAUUUACUGAAGAAUUUUUGAAUCAUGGUAUUCCAGACUCCAGGCCUUCUGAUCAUGCUGCAAUUCACCAAUCUCCAUUUUUCCUAACCUUUGUAAAGAUCUUAGCCCAGGGAUACUUAAUAUAUGGUUAAGAAUGAAUGAGUAAAGCAGCUGGCAAAUCCUCACUUCUUCAACAAUAAAGAAGCCACCUCUGACAACCAAAGCAAGUGAACAUGGCUGAGGAAAGUGACUGCUCAGUGCACUGGGCCGUCAGAGAGGUGCUCUAAUAGGUUUACAGCUUUUAUACAAUGCUGACUUCAGAGAAGGGGAAAGACCCAGAAAAUAGAACAGUGAGUCAAAGUACAAUCUAAAUUCGGUAGCACAAUAGCACUUUGGCCAUAGGGCAUCUGUACAGCGUGUGGGUGUGAGUGCUGGGGGAGGGGGGCGGUGUAGAAAGGGAGGAUAGAGAUAAGCUAUCGGAGGAAGCUAAGCUGACAUUUAGACUUCAACAGACCCUAAGAGCACCGAAAUGUCACGCUAAAGAUGUACCUGUUAUACCAAGGGUAGAACCAUCAUUUCUGGAGUUCCUGUCGUGGUGCAGCGGGAACAAAUCUGACUAGGAACCAUGAAGUUGCGGGUUCGAUCCCUGGCCUUGCUCAGUGGGUUAAGGAUCCAGCAUUGCCGUGAGCUGUGGUGUAGGUUGCAGAUGCGGCUCGGAUCCCGCGUUGCUGUGGCUCUGGCGUAAGCCAAUUAGACCCCUAGCCUGGGAACCUGCAUAUGCAGUGGGUCUGGCCCUUAAAGGGCAAAAGACAAAAAAAAAAAAAAAAAAGUAUCAUUUCCUUCAUAGGAAAUAGACUAUAUUAUAUGAGUUAAUAUAUAGAAAUCAGAGCAAUGACUUAGCUAUUGUUAAUUAUAUGAAGGUGUUCCAGUAUUUGGCUCUUGUCCUGAUUUUCACCAUCUCCCUAGGCACCCAUUACGGAGAUGUGAAGUGUACCUCAGACAAUGAAUGUUAUUUAAAAAGUUCACUCAAAAACAGACUUAUUGUACAGGAAAAAUAAAAAACUCUCAGACUACUAUGAAAGGUUCAUGUGUCCAACACCCAGAAUUCAAUCCAAACUAGAAAAUUAAAAAACAAAACCCAAAACGCCUCUCAAGAUUUUUGUAACAUGGUCAUAUAUGUCAAAAGCAGAAGAGAGCCUGAGGAAGACUUUGCAAGCACUGAAAUAAAGGUCAGCUUGAAUUCUUAUGCUCGUCAAGGAUGCUCUCUGACACACCACGACUCUGCAAGUGAGACAGAAGGGCAGGGGGACAGAAAGUGUCUGCUUUUUACUCUGCUAACCAUUUCUUUAAAAAUCAAAGAUAGUGUUUUCAAUCUCGGCAUGAUGUGAUGACAUUUCAAAGACAAUGCUAUAGUGAAGAAUCAGAUUUUUUAAGAAGGAAAAAGCUAUUUUGGAAAUCUUUGCUUCUGUCUCUGAAGCACAAACUACUUCUAGAUAGAGGUAGGCACUUAAUGUCCAAAGGGAUCAUCCUUUAGGGGCAGAGGCAAAUUAAAAGCCACAACAGCAAUGCUGACAUUCAUGGCAUCUCAGAAAAGCUGGACUCAAGUUGCAUUCAGCUGACCCAGGGCCCCCGUUAUCCUCCGUGUGUGCUACAGGAGGGACAAAAGAGAAGCAACGCUGAUUGAGUGCAUUCAACACUUUAUCCAAAUAAACCCUGACACCUGUAAGGUCUGUUCUCUUCUAAACAUGAAGAACGAGCAUAUCCUCUGACCUACCAAUUCCAUUUCCCUAUCAGCUUCUCCCACAUACAAUACUCCCACAUGAAGGAAAUGCAGCACAUUUAAAGUGAGCCAUUAAAGCACUGUUAAGAGCAAACUAAAUGUCCAUCAUUAGGAAAUGGGUGCAAUGUAUUCUGGUACACCCAUAUCAUGGAACAUUGUGUGCCUAGUUUUUAAAUAAAUGAGUUUUAAUUACUGACACAGAAAGCUCCCCUCAAUCAGCCGAAGUUAAAAAAGCAAGCGAUAAAAUAGUACGCAUAGUAUCUACUAUCUGUAGGAAAUGUACAUGCAUGAAAUAUCUCUGUAAAAAUACAACUGCAAAAUGCUUCAAUAUAGGGACGUAUCAAAAUACAUUAAACUGUCUCCAACUGGUUGCUCUAAGGAAGAAACUUUGGUGACUGAGAGACAGGAAGCAGGGAAACAAAUUUUCAAAGAAAAAGCUUUGUACCUAUAGGAUUCUGAACAACAUGAAUAUACUGCUCAUUUAAAAAUUAAUUAGUUAACAAAAUUGUGUGUUUUUUGAAAGAAGAAGAAAAACCAAAAUUUUCCUAAGGUCCCCAGGGGUUGGAAAAGGCAGACCCAGAGACCUAAAUUUUGGACCAACACCCAAAUUCAUUUUUUAUUACACCAUGCUGCCAUUUUAACUGCAUCUUGGGCACCUUAUGGCAAAUGGUGCCUAUAAAAAAAAGAUUCUCAACUCCCAGAAAUGCUACCAGGAAGUGUACUCCAUCUACUUUCUAAUACAGAAAUCAAGUAAAUGUUACCAGGAUAAACUUCAGCUCCGACUCACUGACACUGAAGGCAUAUUCUUUCCAUUGUAUCAUGACGUCUUCAGCUAAAGGGAGUAACUCAUUUACCCAAAAGAUUCACAGAGUAAUAAUUUGCUAUAGCUGAGAAAUUUUCUCAGGUUUUAACUAAAUUUUCCUAGCUCCAGAUUAUCAUAUGUGUAAUUUCAAAAUAUUUUUGCUAGAGGUAGUCACGCUUUCAAGAGUAAUGCCUUGAAUAUUCUGGACUAUUCAGAUGCCAAAGCUCUUUAAGUAACUUCAGUCAUUCAUUCUUACGGUUUAAUCAAUGAAGCAUAAAAGAUUUCUAGAUCUUUCUGAAAAAGCUUACAAUAGAAGAAAAGAGCGUGAAUCCUCGUUUCCAGUGCGGUUUCCGAUUUUGACUCCUGAUUUCUAGUACAGUUUCCAAAAUAGAGAAUUUUUUAAUGCAUUCUCUUUCUCUAAAAGAAAAAUUCAAAACUAAAUAAAUAUAAAUAUGUUAAAAUACAAGUGCCAACUGUCAGAGCACCUGUCCAUCAAGGGGCCUUGUUUGGGAACACAUUCUAACAGGCAAUUUAACAAGAGAAUGAGAAUGCAUACAUAAAAGGUAGAAGUCAAGGAGUGAAAAAGAAAAAGAAAGGAAGAAAUGAAGGAGUACAUAAGUCAUUUGCAACUAACUGUACAUAGUUAGUUGUACAGAAUCUCCUGACUGUACCUAAGAAUAUGAAGCAUCAGGCAUUAUAUCGGCCCAAACACAGUACUAGCAUGCAAAUCAAGGAACAACGUUAACUCUGCAUACAGUGUCCUAAACCUUAAGACAGAGCAAAUAUGCAUAAAAUGGAUGUUUCCU